rnacentral:rRNA from 1 species
AGCGAACGCCGGCGGCAGGCCUAACACAUGCAAGUCGAACGAGACCUUCGGGUCUAGUGGCGGACGGGUGAGUAACACGUGGGAACGUGCCUUUAGGUUCGGAAUAACUCAGGGAAACUUGUGCUAAUACCGAAUGUGCCCUUCGGGGGAAAGAUUUAUCGCCUUUAGAGCGGCCCGCGUCUGAUUAGCUAGUUGGUGAGGUAAUGGCUCACCAAGGCUACGAUCAGUAGCUGGUCUGAGAGGAUGGCCAGCCACAUUGGGACUGAGACACGGCCCAAACUCCUACGGGAGGCAGCAGUGGGGAAUCUUGCGCAAUGGGCGAAAGCCUGACGCAGCCAUGCCGCGUGAAUGAUGAAGGUCUUAGGAUUGUAAAAUUCUUUCACCGGGGACGAUAAUGACGGUACCCGGAGAAGAAGCCCCGGCUAACUUCGUGCCAGCAGCCGCGGUAAGAC